ensembl:lncRNA
UAUAUAUAUAUAUAUACAGUACCAGUCAAUAGUUUAGACACACCUACUCAUUCAAGGUUUUUCUUUAUUUUGUACUAUUUGCUACAUUGUAGAAUAACAGUGAAGACAUCAACAACUAUUAAAUAACACACAUGGAAUCAUGUAGUAACCAAAAAAAGUGUUAAACGAAUCAAAAAUAUAUUUUAGAUUCUUCAAAGUAGCCACCCUUUGCCUUGAUGACAGCUUUGCACACUCUUGGCAUUCUCUCAACCAGUUUCACCUGGAAUGCUUUUUCAACAGUCUUGAAGGAGUUCCCACUUAUGCUGAGCGCUUGUUGGCUGCUUUUCCUUCACUCUUUUCCUUCACUCUGCGGUCCAACUCAUCCCAAACUAUCUCAAUUGGGUUGAGGUCAGGUGAUUGUGGAGGCCAGGUCAUCUGAUGCAGCACUCCAUCACUCUCCUUUUUGGUCAAAUAGCCCUUACACAGCCUGGAGGUGUGUUUUGGGUCAUUGUCCUAUAGAAAAACCAAUGAUAAUCCCACUAAGCACAAACCAGAUGGGAUGGUGUAUCGCUGAAGAAUGCUGUGGUAGCAAUGCUGGUUAAGUGUGCCUUGAAUUCUAAAUAAAUCACUGACAGUGUCACCAGCAAAGCACCCCAACACCAUCACACCACCUCCUCCAUGCUUCACGGUGGGAAAUUCACAUGCGGAGAUCAUCCGUUCACCUUCUCCGUCUCAAAAAGACACGGCGGUUGGAACCCAACAUCUCAAAUUUGGACUCAUCAAUCCAAAGGACAGAUUUCCACCAGUCUAAUGUCCAUCGCUCGUGUUUCUUGGCCCAAAAAAGUCUCUUCUUCUUAUUGGUGUGCUUUAGUAGUGGUUUCUUUGCAGCAAUUCAACCAUGAAGGCAAGCAGACUCCUCUGAACAGUUGAGAUGUCUGUUACUUGAACUCUGUGAAGCAUUUAUUUGGGCUGCAAGUUCUGAGGUGCAGUUAACUCUACUGAAUUUAUCCUCUGCAGCAGAGGUAACUCUGGGUCUUCCUUUCCUAUGGCGGUACUCAUGAGAGCCAGUUAACUCUACUGAAUUUAUCCUCUGCAGCAGAGGUAACUCUGGGUCUUCCUUUCAUCAUGAGAGCCAGUUUCAUCAUAGCACUUGAUAGUUUUUGCAACUGUACUUGAAGAAUCUUUCAAAAUUCUUGAAAUGUUCCGUAUUGACUGACCUUCAUGUCUUCAUGUAAUGAUGACCUUGACCUUCAUGUAAUGAUGGACUGUCGUUUCUCUUUGCUUAUUUGAGCUGUUCUUGCCAUAAUACGAACUUGGUCUUUUACCAAAUAGGGCUAUCUUCUGUAUACCAUAACUUGAAUGGGUAGGUGUGUCCAAAUGUUUGACCACUACUGUAAAUAUUAUGUAUCUUUAAAUAAUGUUCUUCUGGUCCAUAAAUAUUAUGUCAUCUUUAAUUAAUAGGUCCAGUACCAUAUUAACAAUGUACAGGGAUACUGGAGUGAUGGAGGUAGAUACAGUGCCUUGCGAAAGUAUUCGGCCCCCUUGAACUUUGCACGCCCAAUUUUUCAGUUUUUGAUUUGUUAAAAAAGUUUGAAAUAUCCAAUAAAUGUCGUUCCACUUCAUGAUUGUGUCCCACUUGUUGUUGAUUCUUCACAAAAAAAUACAGUUUUAUAUCUUUAUGUUUGAAGCCUGAAAUGUGGCAAAAGGUCACAAAGUUCAAGGGGGCCGAAUACUUUCGCAAGGCACUGUAUAUAUAGGAGUAAGGAGACUAGAUAUCAGGAUAUCUGAUAAACAGAGUAGCAGCAGCGAUUCUACGGGAGUGUGUAUGCUUGCAUAUGUGUAGAGUCAGUAUGAAUGUGUUUGUGGGCAAAUGUGUGUUGGAGUCUCAGUGUGAGUGUGUAGAGUCCUUUUGAGUGUGCAUAGAGUCACUGCAAAAAUUUAAUAAAAGGGUCAAUGCAGAUAGUCCAUGUAGGUAUUUUUUGUUAGAUGUUCAGCAGUCUGAUGGCUUGGGUGUAGAAGCUGUUCAGCAGACUGAUGGCUUGGGGGUAGAAGCUGUUCAGCAGUGUGAUGGCUUGGGGGUAGAAGCUGUUCAGCAGUCUGAUGGCUUGGGGGUAGAAGCUGUUCAGCAGUCUGAUGGCUUGGGGGUAGAAGCUGUUCAGCAGUCUGAUGGCUUGGGGGUAGAAGCUGUUCAGGAGCCUGUUGGUAUCAGACUUGGUGCUCCGGUACCUCUUGCCAUUCGGUAGCAGAGAGAACAGUUGCUUGAGUCUUAGACAUAUUUCCAUGUCUUCCUUUCCCACCGUUUUGAUAUGGAGGUACUGAAUGGAAAGGAACUCGACCCCAGUGCUGUACUGGGCUGUCCGCACCACCAUCUGUAGCGCCAUGCGGUCGACAGUGAUGCACUUACCGUACCAAGCAGUGAUGCAGUCAGUCAAGAUGCUCUCAAUGAUGCAGCUGGAUACAUUUUUUUGAGGAUCUGAAACCAAAUCUUUUCAAAAUUGGGAACAACAACAAUGGGAAGAACAUUUUCUUUGGGAACAGUAGAAACAGAAAGGUGUCUGGGGGGUGAAUGGGAGGGAGUCUGCCAGGAAGGACAGCAGUCUGCCAGGAAGGACAGCAGUCUGCCAGGAAGGACAGCAGUCUGCCAGGAAGGACAGCAGUCUGCCAGGAAGGACAGCGGUCUGCCAGGAAGGACAGCGGUCUGUCAGGAAGGACAGAGGUCUGCCAGGAAGGACAGCGGUCUGCCAGGAAGGACAGGAGUCUGUCAGGACUUGAGGCUGCCAGGACAGGAGUCUCCUGAUGAAGAAGGAGCCUCACCUAUGACCUUACCUACACCCUGACACUGGCCUCGCCUGCUGCACAGAUAUAUACCCCUCUUUAUCCUGUCUACCCCCUGACCCUACCUAACCCCUGACCCUGCCCACCCCCUGACUCUGCCUACCCACUUACCCUACCCACUUACCCUACCU